rnacentral:rRNA from 1 species
UACGGGGGGAGCAAGCGUUGUUCGGAUUUACUGGGCGUAAAGGGCGCGUAGGCGGUAGCACAAGUCAGUUGUGAAAUCUCCGGGCUUAACUCGGAAAGGUCAACUGAUACUGUGCGACUAGAGUGCAGAAGGGGCAACUGGAAUUCUCGGUGUAGCGGUGAAAUGCGUAGAUAUCGAGAGGAACACCGGUGGCGAAGGCGGCCCACUGGUCCGGUACUGACGCUGAGGUGCGAAAGCGUGGGGAGCAAACAGG